rnacentral:rRNA from 1 species
UACGUAGGGGGCAAGCGUUGUCCGGAAUCAUUGGGCGUAAAGAGCGUGUAGGCGGCUCGGUAAGUCCGCUCUGAAAGCCCGGGGCUCAACCCCGGGAGGCGGGCGGAUACUGUCGGGCUAGAGUCCGGAAGAGGCGAGUGGAAUUCCUGGUGUAGCGGUGAAAUGCGCAGAUAUCAGGAGGAACACCAAUGGCGAAGGCAGCUCGCUGGGACGGUACUGACGCUGAGACGCGAAAACGUGGGGAGCAAAAAGG